AUGCUCACUUCAGCAGCACAUAUACUAAAACUGAAACAAUACAAAGAAGAUUAGUACGGCCCCUGCGCAAAGAUGAUGCACAAUUUCAUGAAAUGUUCCAUAUUUUU
ensembl:snRNA U6 U6 spliceosomal RNA